rnacentral:rRNA from 1 species
AUUGAACGCUGGCGGCAUGCCUUACACAUGCAAGUCGAACGGCAGCGGGGGAGAAGCUUGCUUUUCCUGCCGGCGAGUGCCGAACGGGUGAGUAAUACAUCGGAACGCGCCCUGUAGUGGGGGAUAACUAGUCGAAAGAUUAGCUAAUACCGCAUACGACCUGAGGGUGAAUGGGGGGGACCGCAAGGCCUCAUGCUAUAGGAGCGGCCGAUGUCUGAUUAGCUAGUUGGUGGGGUAAAGGCCUACCAAGGCGACGAUCAGUAGCUGGUCUGAGAGGACGAUCAGCCACACUGGGACUGAGACACGGCCCAGACUCCUACGGGAGGCAGCAGUGGGGAAUUUUGGACAAUGGGCGAAAGCCUGAUCCAGCAAUGCCGCGUGUGUGAAGAAGGCCUUCGGGUUGUAAAGCACUUUUGUCCGGAAAGAAAUGGCUCUGGUUAAUACCUGGGGUCGAUGACGGUACCGGAAGAAUAAGGACCGGCUAACUACGUGCCAGCCGCCGCCGUAA